rnacentral:lncRNA from 1 species
UUUAAUUUGUGCCUGAAUAAAAAACUGAGCCCUGAGCUAGAAGGAGCCCUGGGAGCCCUGGGAGUCCUGGGAGACAGUCAGCAGCCUGCAUGUGGUGAAGCACAUCGGUUCUUUCAAACCUGUUGGUUAAAUUUGAUUCAAGCUGGCUGGAGGAUUGACACCUCAAAAAUCGUGAGUUCUGUGGUUUUUUGUUUCUCUCUCUCUUUGUUUUUUUUUUUUUUUUAAGACAAAUAUCAUUCCUGAAGCAGCAGGUGCCACAUGAAUUUAGCGUUUGUCUGGUUUGUCCUGUCAGCUGGCUAACUGGUGUGUGAAUGUUAGCUGGUCCACCAGCCCCCACAGCUGGAAACCAGCUCUGUUACAUGCUGCCCCUUGGCUGGCCAGCAGCUGGGCACUAUGAAAGGACCUGACAGUGCAAAGACGCCCACAGGAUAUAGGGAAGUGAAAUCGGCAAGUGGUGCAGGAGAUGAACGCUGAAGCUGUUAAGGAGCUCUAGCUGAAGAAGCUGCAAGGGUUUUGGUGAUGCUAGGAAGGAAAGUGCAUGGGUAUGGGCUAUAAUCAAUGGGU